rnacentral:rRNA from 1 species
CAGAAGCGAUGAAGGACGUGGCUACCGGCGAAACGCUUCGGGGAGUUGGAAGUAAGCUUUGAUCCGGAGGUCUCCGAAUGAGGAAACUCUACAUCUUCUUACUGAAUUUAUAGGUAAAGAAAGAGCAAACCUAGGGAAUUGAAACAUCUUAGUACCUAGAGGAAAAUAAAGUAAAAACGAUUCCCUUAGUAGUGGCGAACGAAACGGGAUCAGCCUAAACUUUUUAAUAGAUUCUAUUGAAAAGGGUUGAGGGAUAGAAAAAAAAAAUCUAAAAUUAUAGAAAUUAGGUGAAUUAGUUGGAAAACUAAACCAUAGAAAGUGAUAGUCUUGUAACCAAAAAUUUCUUUAGAAUAUCUAUUCCCAAGUAGCAUGGGGCACGUGGAAUCCCGUGUGAAUCUGCGAGGACCACCUCGUAAGGCUAAAUAUUCCUGGAUGUCCGAUAGUGAAAUAGUACCGCGAGGGAAAGGUGAAAAGAACCCCGGGAGGGGAGUGAAAAAGAACGUGAAAUUGCAAGCUUACAAACAGAAGGAGAACGACUUAGCGUUUAACUUCGUGCCUGUUGAAGAAUGUUCCGGCGAGUUAUAGUUAGUGGCAGGUUAAGAUAGAUAUAUCGGAGCCAGAGUGAAAGCGAGCUUGAAUAGAGCGUUAGUCACUAGUUAUAGACCCGAACCCGCUUGAUCUAACCAUGGCCAGGAUGAAACUUAGGUAACACUGAGUGGAGGUCCGAACCGACUAAUGUUGAAAAAUUAGCGGAUGAGUUGUGGUUAGGGGUGAAAUGCCAAUCGAAAGCGGAGCUAGCUGGUUCUCCCCGAAAUGUAUUUAGGUGCAGCGGUUAAUGUUUUAAUGUAGGGGUAAAGCACUGUUUCGGUGCGGGCUGGUAAUUCGGUACCAAAUCGAGGCAAACUCUGAAUACUACAUGUAUAAUUAACCAGUAAGACUACGAGGGAUAAGCUUCAUAGUCAAGAGGGAAACAGCCCAGAUCACCAGCUAAGGCCCCUAAAUAAUUACUAAGUGAUAAAGGUAGUGGAAAGGCUUUGACAACCAGGAGGUUUGCUUAGAAGCAGCAAUCCUUUAAAAAGUGCGUAAUAGCUUACUGGUCUAGCAAUUCUGCGCCGAAAACUUACGGGACUAAGUAAUUUGCCGAAGCUGUGAGAUAUAUUUAAUAUAUCGGUAGGGGAGCGUUCCAUUGUAGAAUGAAGUGUUAGCGAAAGCGGAUAUGGACGAAAUGGAAGUGAGAAUGUCGGAUUGAGUAGCGAAAACAUUGGUGAGAAUCCAAUGCUCCGAAACCCUAAGGUUUCCUCCGGAAGGCUCGUCCACGGAGGGUUAGUCAGGUCCUAAGGUGAGGCUGAAAAGCGUAAUUGAUGGAUAACAGGUUAACAUUCCUGUACUGAUUAUUGCUGGUAUCGAGGGACGAAGAAGGCUAAAUUAGCCGGAUAUUGGUUACCGGUUUAAGUAUUCAAGGUGUUGAGAAAUAGAGAAAAUAUUUUGAGCUGAGAUACGAAUACAAGAUUCUUUGAAAUCAAAGUAAUUGACGUCAUACUUCCAAGAAAAGCUCGCAAUGCCAUAAGCAAUAAUUACCUGUACCUUAAACCGACACAGGUAGGGAGGUAGAGAAUACCAAGGAGCGCGGGAGAACCCUCCUUAAGGAACUCGGCAAAAUAGCUCUGUAACUUCGGAAGAAAGAG